rnacentral:ncRNA from 1 species
AGGGGCAACAUUCCGAACGGCAUCGAAGUAACGACCGGAUAAAUCAAGCUUCUUAUCCCGAACUCACG